GUAGUCCACGCCCUAAACGAUGGAUACUAGAUGUGUGCGGUCUCGACCCCGUACGCGUCGUAGCUUACGCGAUAAGUAUCCCGCCUGGGGAGUACGGCCGCAAGGCUAAAACUCAAAGGAAUUGACGGGGACCCACACAAGCGGUGGAGCAUGUGGUUUAAUUCGAUAGUAAACGAAGAACCUUACCCAGACUUGACAUUUGCCGAACUCACUGGAAACAGAGGGGUGCCCGCAAGGGAACGGUAAAACAGGUGCUGCAUGGUCGUCGUCAGCUCGUGUCGUGAGAUGUUGGGUUAAGUCCCGCAACGAGCGCAACCCUCGUCGUUAGUUGUAUUUCUCUAACGAGACUGCCCGGUAGAACUGGGA
rnacentral:rRNA from 1 species